rnacentral:rRNA from 1 species
UACGGUCAAAUCACGCUGAAACACCGGUUCUCGUACGAUCACCGAAGUUAAGCAUCGUAGAGCCAGGUCAGUACUUAGAUGGGGGACCGCUUGGGAACACCUGGUAGUGUAAG